rnacentral:rRNA from 1 species
GAUGAACGCUGGCGGCGUGCCUAAUACAUGCAAGUCGAGCGAACGGACGAGAAGCUUGCUUUUCUGAUGUUAGCGGCGGACGGGUGGGUAACACGUGGAUAACCUACCUAUAAGACUGGGAUAACUUCGGGAAACCGGAGCUAAUACCGGAUAAUAUUUUGAACCGCAUGGUUCAAAAGUGAAAGACGGUCUUGCUGUCACUUAUAGAUGGAUCCGCGCUGCAUUAGCUAGUUGGUAAGGUAACGGCUUACCAAGGCAACGAUGCAUAGCCGACCUGAGAGGGUGAUCGGCCACACUGGAACUGAGACACGGUCCAGACUCCUACGGGAGGCAGCAGUAGGGAAUCUUCCGCAAUGGGCGAAAGCCUGACGGAGCAACGCCGCGUGAGUGAUGAAGGUCUUCGGAUCGUAAAACUCUGUUAUUAGGGAAGAACAUAUGUGUAAGUAACUGUGCACAUCUUGACGGUACCCAAUCAGAAAGCCACGGCUAACUACGUG